GGCGCGGCGUGGCGAACUCCCGUUUAAGUCGUAACAAGGUAGCCGUACCGGAAGGUGUGGCUGGAUCACCUCCUUUUUAGGGAGACCUACACCCCUCAAAACUCGAAAGCAAAAUGCCAAUAGAGAUUGAGUUGGUCUAACCUAGGUCGGUCGCAAAAUUUGCUGAGCUUUCAAACUAUAGAUUGGUUCGGAUAAUGGGCUAUUAGCUCAGGUGGUUAGAGCGCACCCCUGAUAAGGGUGAGGUCCCUGGUUCGAGUCCAGGAUGGCCCACCUGAAAGUAAUUAGUAAUUACUAAUUAGUAAUUCGUAGUUAAUUACGAAUUAAAAAUUAUAAAUUACGAGUUAUUUGGAUGGGGGUUUAGCUCAGUUGGUAGAGCGCCUGCUUUGCAAGCAGGAUGUCAGCGGUUCGAGUCCGCUAAUCUCCACAUCGUGUGAAAGUUACAGAAAAAAAAAUUAACAACUAAUUAUCGGUCAAGAUAAGAAAUUGUUAUCAUAAUCUUAGCAAUGAGCAGCACAAUGUGAUUAAGAUAAAAGACCGACAAACUCACCAAUUGAUUGAUAGACAAUACAAUCGAACUGCUGGGAUAAUCUCAGCCAGAACCUUGAAAAAC
rnacentral:misc_RNA from 1 species